GUACUUCUGAAGAGUCCCAAACUAGGACGAAACAGCUGUCAAGUGC
rnacentral:hammerhead_ribozyme from 1 species